GGAGUUAGCCGGUGCUUCUUCUGUGAGUGAUGUCCUUCCUGCCGGCUAUUAACCCGCAGGCCUUCUUCCUCACUGAAAGUGCUUUACAACCCGAAAGGCCUUCUUCACACACGCGGCAUGGCUGGAUCAGGGUUGCCCCCAUUGUCCAAUAUUCCCCACUGCUGCCUCCCGUAGGAGUCUGGGCCGUGUCUCAGUCCCAGUGUGGCUGAUCAUCCUCUCAGACCAGCUACGGAUCGUCGCCUUGGUGAGCCGUUACCUCACCAACCAGCUAAUCCGACAUAGGCUCAUCCGAUAGCGCGAGGCCCGAAGGUCCCCCGNUUUCCCCCGUAGGGCGUAUGCGGUAUUAGCCUGGGUUUCCCCCAGGUUAUCCCCCGACUACCGGGCAGAUUCCUAUGCAUUACUCACCCGUCCGCCGCUCGCCACCAGGGAGCAAGCUCCCCGUGCUGCCGCUCGACUUGCAUCGUGUUAGGCCUGCCGCCAGCGUUCAAUCUGAGCCAGAAUCAAACUCUGA
rnacentral:rRNA from 1 species